UACGGAGGAUGCGAGCGUUAUCCGGAUUUAUUGGGUUUAAAGGGUGCGUAGGCGGACUGUCAAGUCAGCGGUAAAAUUGAGAGGCUCAACCUCUUCCCGCCGUUGAAACUGGUGGUCUUGAGUGGAUGAGAAGUACGCGGAAUGCGUGGUGUAGCGGUGAAAUGCAUAAAUAUCACGCAGAACUCCGAUUGCGAAGGCAGCGUACCGGCAUCCAACUGACGCUGAGGCACGAAAGCGUGGGGAUCAAACAGG
rnacentral:rRNA from 1 species